UUUUGUUGCAAAUGUCUGCAGACAGAAAGGAAAAGAAGAACAGAGGAUUGAAGAUUGAUUUGAAAGCAAUAUGAAAGUUGGACGAAAAGGUGAUUGUUGAGGGAGACAUUAGAAAAUACUCUCUCAAAGAACCGGAGACGCAUCUCACUAAGCCACUACCUGCCGAUCAAAACACAUUUUGCAACCAGAAGCAAGAAAUUUUUCAUGACAUAAAUAAAUCAGAAAUUAAAUUAUCUUCCCCAUUAGGUUGUCCGUUAAUUAGACUCAACCUCAGAUCCAACUGCACUAAUCCAUCUUUUGCCGAAGCAAUGGGUUAUCCUGUCCAAAGAUGGAACUACCGCAGACCCCUAAAAUACACAAACAAAAGUUAACAAAUGCGAGGACAUCCACCAUCAAUUUAGCUUCAAGAGGAAAAGCGAAGCCGGGAUUUGAAGAUGAAUUUUAAAAAGUCAAAACGAUUCUAAAAUUUGGGUGAUAAGGAUAAUUACAAAGAGACAGAAGGUAAUAUAAACUUAGAAUCAAACUGGUCAACAUCUGAAACCGACAAGGCACAUCUUGGCGCCCUAAUUUGUCGCCACCUGCUGACUAUCAACACGAUCAAAACCAAAGGUCCAGAACAGCAUCUUGCUAUUGUUAUUAUUCUUUAGACGAGACAAAGAUUAAACAGGUAGGGACUCUUUCAUGGUAAAAUAGAAGUUCACCUGUACCAUAUACUCUGAUUCGCCUCAGCCAAACAUCUUACGUGGUAACCAAACUUCUCAGGACUUCACACAAAACUAUAAUAUACUCAAACUUGAAGCUUUAUUCUUCUACCAAAAAGCAUAUUUUAACCAUUUCCGACGAAUUCUACGGCACCUCAUAAAAGAAUCAAUGGACCAUCAGACCCAAACAAUUUGAAAAUAACCAAACAUCAAAAUCACCCAAGUAAGAACAGGAAAUGUUAUGGUCAUAUAACGUAGAAAUCUGAAAAUUGAAUGAUAAGAAUGAUUAUUACAUAAGAAUAUAUAAUCUGGAACUGACAAAAUCAUAUCCAGCAGUACACUCCACUAAACCCACUGAUCAACAUAUUACACAAUCAGAAACAAAAUAAAUUAUCUUGCCAUCAGAUCUCUAGCUUAAGCAAUUGGCGAUCCUAUCCAAAUUAUCCAGGUGUACAUAAGCUCUAGUAAAAUCAGAUCCGACGUUCUAGUUGCACAGUUAGCUUAGCCCCAUAAAAUAAAGAUGAAACAAGCACAACCUUCGUAAAGCCACAAAACAGAAAGUACCAAAUAGUAGGACGGGCACCAAAACGUUUGUUGCAAAUUUCUGCAAACAAGUAGGAAAAGCAGUAAAGGGAUUUAACAUAUACAUUAAAAAAAUUGUGAUAUAAAGUUAGAAAAAUGAGGAGGAUGAGGAAGAAAGAGAAAGCGAGAUUGAACAAUAUCUGGAACUGACGGGUGUCUCAGAAAUAUCGUAUCGGUAUUGCACAUAUAUACAUAUCAUAAGGAGAAUCAAAUCUCAAUCAGAAGAUUCCGAGACAAAUAGGUUGAACAUCCGGUCGUAUAUGGUUGUAUAUGCAUAUCAAAAGGAAGAAACUUUAACAGACACUCUUGCUUAGAAUCAUCAGCCAAAACAUCUUAUACCGACCUUGUCAGAGGAACAGAACAACACAAUUAUGACGAGGAGAGAACAUACUCGUAUUCAAAGCGCUUUCUUCUACAAAGAAUCAUAUUCAAGGUUGAGCGAAAAUCAAAUCAGCCGAUUACCAAACCCUAGCAAGAUAAAACACAAUCCAAACGCAAAAACCACUUGUUGAUGAAUAACCGAACAUCAUACCUAAUACCACGCCGGAUCAAAAUCACCAAAAGAAAACCAAUUCAGAAUCACAAUCAAACGACCGGCGAAGAAUCCACGACGCUCCGAUUGUCAGACCGGCAAAAUAACCCAGAUAAAUCAAAUCAGGACCCUACAAUCAGACGGUAUCGCGAAAGAGAAAAAAAAAACAUGGGACGGAUAAUCGCCGCUGAUUGAAUUGAAUUGCGCAGGUUUCAUAGCGACGAAAAUACAUAUACAAUCUGAAAAACGGAAACGACAAAUAAACAUCCGCAGAGAACCAAAGGCAAUCAAAC
rnacentral:lncRNA from 1 species